CAGGCCAGUCUGCCCUUGAUGAACUCCAAGGAAUGGGCCAUCAUAGCUGGUCACGGCCAGCCCUUGCCUCCCGCCUUAAUGAACACAGUGUGAUGGAGAGCGUUGGAUCUUAGUCUCUGAUAGGGAUGGAAUUACAGGAACAAGGUCAGUCCACUCUUCUCACACCUGGACCCCCCGUCUACAAAGCCACCAGAGGCAGAUCCUUGGCCACAUCAGCUCAGCUCCCUUCCAGGCCACUGGGUCACCACAGCCAACAAUAUCUUUUAGCUGGUGCCCUGGAGGGCUCUAUUCCUGAAGACCUGGCAAGGCAGCCAGAUGAGGUGUUAGAGAGCAAUGCCACACCGCCCAGAACCAGGAUGGAGCUGGCCAGCAUCGGGAGCCACCGGGCAUCAAAGCAGUGGAAAAGUGGGGAGCCCCAAGGGCGCAAGGUCAUGAAAGAUCUUGGGAGCAGCAGCACCAGUUUUUCACCCACUCUGCAACCAGGCACUGGCUGCCUUGGGCUGAAUGGAGCGGCCUGGGUAAAUCAAGCCCACAUGUCUGUCACCGAGCACUAAAUCUCCCCAAAGGACAUUCCUUACUGCAGCAGUAAUGCUGCCAGCUCCAGGGAACAGGAUUGCACCACCGGGGCGGCUUAAAGGGCCAGCUCACAGCCUCCUGGUUCCAGCUGGGAACGUCCU